GACAGAGGUGCCGAGCGUUAGGCGGAAUCACUGGGCUUAAAGCGUGUGUAGGCGGGCGGGCAAGUACCUUGUGAAAUCCCACGGCUCAACCGUGGAACUGCUUGGUAUACUGCGGGUCUUGAGCCACCUAGGGGCAAGUGGAACAAACGGUGGAGCGGUGAAAUGCGUAGAUAUCGUUUGGAACGCCAAUGGUGAAAACAACUUGCUGGGGGUGUGCUGACGCUGAGACACGAAAGCCAGGGGAGCAAACGGG
rnacentral:rRNA from 1 species